rnacentral:rRNA from 1 species
CCUACGGGUGGCAGCAGUGAGGAAUAUUGGUCAAUGGACGAGAGUCUGAACCAGCCAAGUAGCGUGAAGGAUGACUGCCCUAUGGGUUGUAAACUUCUUUUAUAUGGGAAUAAAAUGUUCCACGUGUGGGAUUUUGUAUGUACCAUAUGAAUAAGGAUCGGCUAACUCCGUGCCAGCAGCCGCGGUAAUACGGAGGAUCCGAGCGUUAUCCGGAUUUAUUGGGUUUAAAGGGUGCGUAGGCGGAUCGUUAAGUCAGUGGUCAAAUUGAGGGGCUCAACCCCUUCCCGCCAUUGAAACUGGCGUUCUUGAGUGGAAGAGAAGUAUGCGGAAUGCGUGGUGUAGCGGUGAAAUGCAUAGAUAUCACGCAGAACCCCGAUUGCGAAGGCAGCAUGCCGGCUUCCGACUGACGCUGAAGCACGAAAGCGUGGGGAUCGAACAGGAUUAGAUACCCCAGUAGUC